AUAGGUUUCGGUACCCCGAGGAAAAUAAGCGAUUACAAAGUAACAAAAUGGAAUUUAGAUAAAAAAAUUGCUAUUUGCAUAGUCUUAAACCAUAAAGAAAAUACAGACAAAUGUUAACCUGUCACAACCAUAACUGGCGAGAGAAGAGAAUUUAGAGAUACAGUGUUGAGUUAGUGAGUGAAACUGAAAGCCAUUCAUUUCCACAAAUUGGAUGGAAUUAUCAUUCUAUCACGAUCAACGUUUGAGGAUAAGAAAAACGUCUGGGAUUACGAAAUGCACCGUAGUGAACUGUAUGUGCAUAUGCUGUGUUCUGGACAGUUUUAGAAUGUUUGGUUUCUUGAACAUGAACUCUGAAUGAACUAUAUGUAAGAAUACUGGACAGAUACU